rnacentral:sRNA from 1 species
GACAUAUCGUAUUCAAAAAUUUGAACAAUACAGAAAAGAUAAGCAUAGGACGACCCGAAAACUCGUAAAGCAUUCUAUAUUUUA